rnacentral:rRNA from 1 species
AGUGAACGCUGGCGGUAGGCCUAACACAUGCAAGUCGAACGGCAGCACAGUAAGAGCUUGCUCUUACGGGUGGCGAGUGGCGGACGGGUGAGGAAUACAUCGGAAUCUACUUUUUCGUGGGGGAUAACGUAGGGAAACUUACGCUAAUACCGCAUACGACCUACGGGUGAAAGCAGGGGAUCUUCGGACCUUGCGCGAUUGAAUGAGCCGAUGUCGGAUUAGCUAGUUGGCGGGGUAAAGGCCCACCAAGGCGACGAUCCGUGGCUGGUCUGAGAGGAUGAUCAGCCACACUGGAACUGAGACACGGUCCAGACUCCCACGGGAGGCAGCAGUGGGGAAUAUUGGACAAUGGGCGCAAGCCUGAUCCAGCCAUACCGCGUGGGUGAAGAAGGCCUUCGGGUUGUAAAGCCCUUUUGUUGGGAAAGAAAAGCAGCAGGUUAAUACCCCGCUGUUCUGACGGUACCCAAAGAAUAAGCACCGGCUAACUUCGUG